rnacentral:rRNA from 1 species
AUUGAACGCUGGCGGCAGGCCUAACACAUGCAAGUCGAACGAGUGGCGGACGGGUGAGUAAUGUCUGGGAAACUGCCUGAUGGAGGGGGAUCACUACUGGAAACGGUAGCUAAUACCGCAUACCAUCGGAUGUGCCCAGAUGGGAUUAGCUAGUAGGUGGGGUAAAGGCUCACCAAGGCGACGAGCCCUAGCUGGUCUGAGAGGAUGACCAGCCACACUGGAAGUGAGACACGGUCCAGACUCCUACGGUAGGCAGCAGUGGUGAAUAUUGCACUAUGGGCGCAAGCCGGAUGCAGCCAUGCCGCGUGUGUGAAGAAGGCCUUCGGGUUGUAAAGUACUUUCAGCGGGGAGGCGUUACCCGCAGAAGAAGCACCGGCUAACUCCGUGCCAGCAGCCGCGGUAAUAC